rnacentral:rRNA from 1 species
UACGGGGGGUGCAAGCGUUGUUCGGAUUUAUUGGGCGUAAAGCGCGUGUAGGCGGUUUGUUAAGUCUGUUGUGAAAUCCCUGGGCUCAACCCAGGAACUGCGUCCGAUACUGGUUGGCUUGAAUCCGGGAGAGGGAUGUGGAAUUCCAGGUGUAGCGGUGAAAUGCGUAGAUAUCUGGAGGAACACCGGUGGCGAAGGCGGCAUCCUGGACCGGCAUUGACGCUGAGGCGCGAAAGCCAGGGGAGCAAACGGG